GGCCAUUUAGCUUAAUGGUAGAGUACUCAGCUGGUAUGUGAGGGGUACAGGUUCAACUCCCAUAGCUGUCU
rfam:Octopus bimaculoides Scaffold216565_contig_6, whole genome shotgun sequence.